UACAGAACAUGAGUAUUAAAAACAUGAGUAUUGGGGAGUUAUGUCAAAGCUUGCAGGGCAAGAGUUGGUUUUGAAUAGGCCCCCAUAUCACACUAACGAUUAUUUCUAGGAAUCACAAUUAACCCCCCACUCUUAAUCACAUAAUGUUACUCAACUCACUUCCUCCAGCGCGCGCACAGAUAAUUUAUUUGCAUGUGCCAUGAUGCACUGGCUACGAAAUAUGAUGGUGUUGGACUUGCCUUUCAAAUAGGAGUCUGUCCCAGUCACACUGAAAAGGGGUAAUGAGGAGUCUGGUUUUUCCCCCAAGAACAAAAGGGGUACCAGAAUAGGGGUGAAGAACCCUUCCUCCCCUACCCAUGGCUACACCCCACCCCAGCUUCUACAAAGAUACUUUUCUCUCAGUCGACCUCUGAUUUACAAGUGAGCCUGGCUGCAUAAAAUGUGCCUGAGUGAUGGGUCCAAAGGAUCAACAACAGGGGGAGGGGGGCUAUUGUGAACAUCAGGUUAACCCUCUUGCACUCACCAACAGGCAGCACCUACCACAAGGCAGAGAGGGUUUAGGGGUAUUCCACUAGUGUGCCAUUUCCACUGCUGAAACUGGGAUCCCAAUCCUCAAUGUGAUAUGCAUCUAAAGAUAUGCGAACUGGGUGUAACAGCAGUUAAAGAAACAGAUCUGUUGCUGUUAUGUCUUGCAUCAGUCUGAGAUACCUGACGAGUUCUUCUUUCUUUCCUUUUUUGCAUGGGUUGGCAUUAUAGGGUUCUUGACUAGAGCUAAAAGCCCCUUGUCUUGAUUGUAGUAAACCCACCCAGUGGUAACCAAUUUGUAAGCUGCCCUGGGAAUAUUUAUAUUGAAGGGCAAUGUAUUAGAAAAUCAGAUUAAUUAGUUAAUCUAGUUUAAAUAGAUUAAAAAUUAGAUAAAAUUUUAAAAUUUAGAGAGGAACUUUGGAUACUUUCAGGCUACAGCAUACAACAGAGACUAAUCUUCUGGAGCUGUUACAUAUAUUUGAAUAUUUAUGC